UGCACAACGAUUGGAGGAAAGCUGAGUCCGUCACGUGACGCUCACCGGGUGCGACGCCAGUCACGUGGGCGCCGCGCGGGUCACUUGCACAGAGGUCCUCGGCCGUUCCACCACUUUCAGAAGAAGCUUAUGUGCUGAAGCAAAGGAGAAAUGCCGAUUGCUGUAUCACAGAGACAGUAAUGGUGACACCUACAGAUGAUGCCUGUGCAGGUCGGACACAACGUUCAGCACAUGGUGUUGCAUAUUGGAGACUGGUAUCCAGAUGUAUGAAGGACUCUAAAAACUCAAUAACAGAACAACUCAGCAAAAACUGGAAACUUCACAAUAGAUGACAUAUGAAGCCAGACACAAAAGAGUACAUACUGUAUGAUUCCAUUUUUAUGAAAUUCUAGGAUUUGGACAGAGUGAAGCUCCAGGAUUCCCAGGACCUGUGACCACUCCGAGCCCCAGGAAUGGGGGCCGGGGAAGCAGCUCAGAAUUUCCAGUCUUUUCCAAUUCCCACAUGCUUCCCUAAUUUAGAACGAAUUCAUAGAGAAUAAAGUCUUUUUCCAUCUGGGGAAGACGCUGGAGAUCCUCCCUCCGGGGUGAGGCCCCGCGGACAAUUAGUCCG